GACGAACGCUGGCGGCGUGCCUAAUACAUGCAAGUAGAACGCUGAAGGAGGAGCUUGCUUCUCUGGAUGAGUUGCGAACGGGUGAGUAACGCGUAGGUAACCUGCCUGGUAGCGGGGGAUAACUAUUGGAAACGAUAGCUAAUACCGCAUAAGAUUGACUAUUGCAUGAUAGUCAGUUAAAAGGUGCAAUUGCAUCACUACCAGAUGGACCUGCGUUGUAUUAGCUAGUUGGUGGGGUAACGGCUCACCAAGGCGACGAUACAUAGCCGACCUGAGAGGGUGAUCGGCCACACUGGGACUGAGACACGGCCCAGACUCCUACGGGAGGCAGCAGUAGGGAAUCUUCGGCAAUGGACGGAAGUCUGACCGAGCAACGCCGCGUGAGUGAAAAAGGUUUUCGGAUCGUAAAGCUCUGUUGUAAGAGAAGAACGAGUGUGAGAGUGGAAAGUUCACACUGUGACGGUAUCUUACCAGAAAGGGACGGCUAACUACGUG
rnacentral:rRNA from 1 species